CCUGCCCAAUGAUAAUUAAUAGUUAUUUAAUGGCCGCGGUAUUUAUGACCGUGCAAAGGUAGCAUAAUCAUUAGUCUUUUAAUUGAAGGCUUGUAUGAAUGGUUGAACAAAAGGAAUACUGUCUUGUCUUUAAUAAAAAUUGAAUUUAACUUUUAAGUGAAAAGGCUUAAAUGAUUUAGAGGGACGAUAAGACCCUAUAAAACUUUAUAAGAAAAAAGAUUAAUUAAGUUUUUAUUAAAAAUAAAUAUUUUAUUUUUAUUAAGUUGGGGCAACUAUAGUAUAAUUAUUAUUAACUGCUUUAUAUUAUAAACAAAUAUAUUUGAAUUAAAGUUAAAUGAUCCUUUGUUAUUAAAGAUUUAAAGAUUAAGUUACUUUAGGGAUAACAGCGUUAUUUUUUUUGAGAGUCCAUAUUGAAAAAAGAGUUUGCGACCUCGAUGUUGAAUUAAAAUUUCUAUAUAGUGCAGUUAUUAUAUAAGAGGGUCUGUUCGACCUUUAAUUUUUUACGUGAUCUGAGUU
rnacentral:rRNA from 1 species